UUUCCGUAGGUGAACCUGCGGAAGGAUCAUUAUCGUACAAAAUGUGAGGGGCAUUCGAGGGCUGUAGCUGAUCCUCAAGUCGUGCAAGACCAAGCGGGACCUCUUGCAUAAUAAUCCACUUCAUACUUUGUGCAUGACCGCGUGGGCACUCUUCGGGAUACUUUCGGAGGGGGGCUUGCGUUUUAACACAACCUCCACUUUUAAACGAGUAAGAUGUCCACAUUUUUGCAUUAAAUACAACUCUCAACAACGGAUCUUUUGGCUCUCGCAUCGAUGAAA
rnacentral:misc_RNA from 1 species